GCCCAACGAGUUGCUCGCCUCGCUGCCCUUCCCCCACCGCCCGGCCGCAGCCCCUGCCGGCCGCCCAGGUCUCGUCCCGCCUCACGGCCGGCGCUCCCCGGCCCGGGCCGCUCCGCACGCCUCGCCGCCUGCUGGGCUACUGAUGCCCUCCAUCCACACAAAGACGCGUGCGCCCGGGCGGGGAGCGCAGGGGCUGGCACGCACCACCGGCGGGCCUUCUGUCUGCACCCCCUCUCCCGGCCGCCGCCGGCGCACUCCCACGGCCCCCACUCCCUCGUCUCUCGUCUGAGCCGCCAUUUGCUCCUCGCCUCCCCGACUCAGCUACCGGUAAUCUCAGAUCUACUUUCCGUCUCUUCGCAAGAGGAGCAUGGGAAUAUGGAGACAUGAACUGAUUCAAGGAAUCUGGCCUGGGGAAGGCCUCAUGCACAGAUUCUGAGCAGACAGGGUCUUGUCUUAAAGAGCCUUGGACCAAAUUUACUACCAGCCUUAUCCCGACCCCCAUUUCCCCAGCUUCAAAGGGAAUAUAGGUGACCACAGACUCCGAAGUCUUGCAGGUUGGUGCAGACUUUUGAGAACCUGUCGUACAUCUCUCACCCUUGUUCCAAUGGGUACUAUUUGCUAACACUAGAACUCAUACUGUCCCACAUUUGAUCUUUCCUUCCUCAACCACCAACUUCUACUUCCUUCUACUACUGUCUUCAGAAUGCCAAUAUUUUUGUGUCCCAGUUUCAUCUUGGGCACCAAGGAGUAGGAUGAACUUUAUAGUUCUGAAAUUCUAGGUUCAGAAAAUAGUGCUGUGGAGCACAAGGUGGGUGGGUUUCACUGUCACUCAUGCCUGCACCUGUGAACAGGGAACCUCCUGAGGAAACACAUAUGGUCUCAUCAUAUUCCACAGUCACCCAGACACAUCUCUCAAGGCCUGACUUCCUUUCCUCCCCACGCCCCACCCUCUGGGCAGAAGUAGCUGAGAAGGUGCUUCUCCAGCUCUUUCCUCUUCCCUGCUUAGCUCUAUUAUAGUUCACUAGGCCAACACUUUUCUUAGAACCAAAGUGUUUCUAUUUAGGGGUCUGGGGAGCAAUUCCAUUUCCCUCUAUCAUCUCACCUGGAU
rnacentral:lncRNA from 1 species